rnacentral:rRNA from 1 species
UACGUAGGAAGCAAGCGUUAUCCGGAUUUACUGGGCGUAAAGUGAGCGUAGGUGGCUUUUCAAGUCGGAUGUGAAAUCUCCUGGCUUAACUGGGAGGGGUCAUUCGAUACUGUUGAGCUAGAGGACAUCAAGGGAAGGUGGAAUUCCGGGUGUAGUGGUGAAAUGCGUAGAUAUCCGGAGGAACACCAGUGGCGAAGGCGGCCUUCUGGGAUGUUACUGACACUGAGGCUCGAAAGUGUGGGGAGCGAACAGAAUUAGAUACUCUGGUAGUCCACACUGUAAACUAUGGACACUAGGUAUAGGGAGUUUCGACCCUCUCUGUGCCGAAGCUAACGCUUUAAGUGUCCCGCCUGGGGACUACGGCCGCAAGGUUAAA